UUCGGGUUUUCGCAUCUCUAGUCCCUGGAAGGGUUUAGAAUCAGAGAGGAAGGAAGAGUUAUGAUCCUCGCCGAGAUAAUGGAAUUCGACUAGGGUAUGAAGAUACAAAGCCAAGCUUAUCGAAAGGAAUUUAGAGAGGGUCGCCGAUUGCUCAAAUCCGAUUUGGGGGGAUCAAAUCCGACGUACAAGGUAUGGGUACUGAAGAGGAGAAGGAAAGGAAGAAUAUGGUGGCCGGACGGUGUUGAAUGGUGAGAGCCUGAGAGGUUGUCGAGCUGAACAAGGAAACUGACAAAGCGAGCGAGGGGCGAUCUGCAAGUGGUUGUGAGAGAUUGCAGUGUGUGUGUGUGUGUGUAUAAAUCAAAGUUUUGGUAUUGAGAUUUAUAUUGGGGGAGAUUUCAAUGGAGACUGAGAUCUGUUGUGAAGGGUUUCAGUUUUGUACAUGGAUUGAUUCUGAGAAGGUGAAGAGGAGACCCCUGAGUGGCUUGACUUGAUUUUCGAGGAAGUUGGGAUGAGCAAAGCAAGAGACAGGUGCUUGUUGUGGCAGCGCCAAAAUCGAAUCGGCAUCAACAUCUUGUUGUGGAUAACAACCACUGGAAUCUAGGUAAUGUACUAUUAUUCUAGCAAGGGGCUUAUCAUCUCCGAAGAUGUUCAAGUACAAGUCGAGACCUCCAAGCCACUCCAUGAUUUAUUCUACUUUGAUUUCUAACAUCAAUUGUGACACGCAGAUCACCGAGGUUCACUGUCAAAUUUUUCUAGAUGGUGGUGUAGUUAGGGAUGAUAGCUGAAGGUCUGGCAAGGUCUGGAUCAAAAGAAGCAAAGUUAGUGGGAGAAGAAAUUGAUGUAAGGUGGAUUAGAACAAAUUAUAAAGCCUACACGAAAACAGGUGUCAUGCAUGAAAAAUUUGAUGUACAAAAGUAUGGAGAAUUUGAUGAAUAUGUACCCCAGGCAUAUCACUAUAUCGCUGUAAUAAUAAUGAUCCUUGAUUAUUAUGAAACUAUUAUUUAUACAAUUAAUAUUACAUGGCCUUGUUUUGCUUCCACUG